AGCCCUUCCGACUUGCCCAGAAACAGGCCAGCUGUGGAAUCUGUCCGGUUGGAGAGGCCACAGGCUGACAAGAUGAGACCAGUUGAGACCAGUUCUGCACACCUGUAGCUGGAGCUCUGAGCAGCUCACUGCCUGUCUUGGAUGAAGGCUGCGAGCCUUCAUUUAUGAUGGGGACUUUACUAUCUCUUAGAGUGUUUCAAAACCCAUCUCUAGUUGGAUUGGCAUCUCAAAGCUUGUAAUCCUAACUACUCAGCAGGCUGAGCUGCUGAAGAGCAUUCUCUUCGGUUCAUAAAGAAGGUCAAAUCCCGUUUGGUCAAUACCUGUGACACAGCUGGAAGGAAGUACCGAGGGGUGAGAGCAGUCUAACAUGAAAAACAAGUAAAAGACAAAGAGUGGGGUCAGCGAGCAGCCUGGAUCAAUGAUGCCCAAACUCUGGGAAAAUGUAUCUGUGGGUGAACCCCAGGCUUCCAGGAAUCAAUCAACAGCCCUUGAAAAAUUGUGUCUUCCAUAAAAAUGUCACCUGAGCCUUCAGUGUCACAAUGAAGGUGCCGAUAGCCAGGCACAAAAUAAAUGGCCCAUUAAUACUCA